AACCCUCGUGCCGUACAGUUUGCGAGGGAGGAGACCGGUUGUUUCUGGCAUCCCCUCUGAAUACAUACAUAUAUACAUACACGUACACGUAUGAUGUAUACGUUUCGCAUACAUGUGUGCGUGCGUGUGCUAUGUAUCCCUCUCCUUCUCCUUCUCCUUCUCCAUCUCUCUCUCUCUCUCUCUCUCUCUCUCUCGAUUUGAUGCCAGUAGCACGAGCGCGCGCUUUCGAACACGACGCGUCGUGUUUGCUGUGAGGGACGAUCAGUCUGUUCUCCACGUUCUCCACGCAAGGACAAUCGUCCGUCGACCGUACUGUUCGAUUCUAAAUCGCGACGUGAACUUUAAUCGGGAAGCAAAUGUGUUUAAUAACUCGUAAAUGACAUGCAUUUAUUUGGUUUACAUGAGAAUCUGCGCUUAUUCUCAUGUAUCGUCGCGAGAUGAAAGUGUGCGGGAUGCCAAUGUGACUGAUGACUCGCGCUUGAAAAUUAAAAAGUUAUCUCUAUAUUUAAACGGUUCAACCCUCUUUUAUUAACGCAAAAGAGUGCGCGAGUAAUAAUACGUUUGGUUUGUUAUGACUCAGUUAGCAUAUUCAAGAUCAUUUUUGUCGUCGCCGCCGCCGCCGCCGCCGUCGCCGUCGUCGUCGUCGUCGUCGUCGUCGUCGUCGUCGUCGUCGUCGUCGUCGUCGUCGUCAUCGUCGUCGUCGUCGUCGUCGUCGUCGUCGUCGUAUCGAUAUUCUGUUCGAUAACCUCGAGAUGAGGCCUCUUUUGGUACUCGCGAUCAUUUGCUUGCUAGCGAAGAUCGUCGAUUGCCGGGCCAUAGAAAAUGAUGAAAAUCGGCGCGGUAAACGACGACAUAGGUUCUCUAUCGAAGAAUUACUCACCAUCAAAUUUUCACAUGUUAUUACCGGAGAUUUGGACAUCGAUAUUUGUAAAGCUGGCGGUUUUCUUGGUGACAUUGCACUGCCAAAUAUUAAAUAUGAUACAGAAUGGCGCGAACAAAAGUUGAAUAAAAGCUACCUGGAAGAAUUAGAGAAAUACAGGGAGGAAAUAUUAAAGGAAGGUCUUCAAGUAGAGGAAGAAGGCCUUACGGAGAUCCUUCAGUUUAAGAGUGAACAUGAUGUUAACAAACAAGUGUUCAAUGAACACAACGAUGCGGUUGUCAAAAAAAAAUCUGAGUCGAUAGAUCGCAAUCAAUAUAGCAUGGGUGGCGAGUCUGAUGGUUUCAGCUUUAACGAUAGGAGCGAUGAUACUAAUCCUGCAGUGAAAAACGAGGGUUUAGUGUUUAGACUGGAAUCCUCGACCCAAGCUUCGAAAAAAAAGUAUUUCGAACGACAAGCUCGUCGACAGAUUUCGAGGACGGUAUUGAUAUCAGAAUCAGUGAAAGCUAGACAUCCGACUCAUGACAUGCCUCUCGAAUUUUCAACCUCUACAGCUUUUACUACCGAGCCCAGUAAAUAUGUAGGUCGUGUAUAUACAGACAACAUCAAGGAAACAUUUAAUGCGCAAACUGAAUUGAAUACGCAAAAUCCAUCGAAUCGACGACGGCGACGUCAUCAUCGUAAAAGAAUUUUAGGAAGACGUUCUCACCAUCAUUGCAAUCGACGAACGCAUGACUUUAUUACCGAUGCAUCGGACGAAGUCAUUUCUGCACACGAUCGACGUCUUCGUUCUAUCGAAUUCUAUAAUAUGGAUCACAAGCCGAAAUUGAUAAACAAGCAUGGCACGAAACACUUUUCAAGCAGAAUACGUCGAGCCGCUACUGCGAGGAAGGAACGAGUAUGGGAUCAUGGGGUCAUUCCCUAUGAGAUUGAUGGAAAUUUUUCUGGUGCACAUAAAGCAUUAUUCAAACAAGCAAUGAGACAUUGGGAAAAUUUUACUUGCGUCAAAUUUGUAGAGAGAGUAUCCAGAGAGCAUCCUAAUUAUAUUCUAUUUACGGAAAGACCUUGCGGAUGCUGUUCUUUUGUCGGAAAAAGAGGUAAUGGACCGCAAGCUAUUAGCAUUGGUAAAAACUGCGAUAAGUUUGGUAUAGUUGUACAUGAAUUAGGUCACGUCGUUGGAUUUUGGCACGAGCAUACUCGACCAGAUCGUGAUCGUCAUGUACAAAUUAUCCGCGAUAAUAUUAUGAGCGGUCAAGAAUACAAUUUUAAUAAAUUGACAGAAGAAGAAGUGAAUUCACUCGGCUUGCCCUAUGAUUAUGACUCCAUCAUGCACUAUGCAAAAAAUACCUUUUCAAAAGGUACUUAUCUGGAUACAAUUUUACCUAUGGAAACUCAUGGAAAAAAGAGACCCGAAAUCGGACAAAGAAUCAGACUAAGCGAAGGCGACAUCGCGCAAACAAAUCUUUUAUAUAAAUGUCAUAAGUGUGGUAGAACAUUUCAGGAGAACAGUGGUAUCUUUGCAUCACCAAACUACCCAAACAAUUCUCCACCUACUGAUGGAGAACGAUGCGAAUGGAGAAUUACGGCUACACAUGGUGAACGUAUCGUCCUAAAUAUCACAUUUCUUGAUAUAUUCAAAAGCAAUUAUUGUCGCAGUGAUUAUCUUGAAAUUCGAGAUGGAUAUUGGCAUAAGAGUCGAGUAUUAGGUCGAUAUUGUGGUAGCGGUAAAAUGCACGAGCCAAUAGUGUCAAGCGGAAGUCGUAUGCUAGUAACAUAUGUGAUAUCUAGCAAGCAAAGUGGUCAUCGUGGCUUCACGGCUAGUUAUGAAGCUGUUUGCGGCGGUGAUGUCGAAUUAGAUGGUAUAGGUCAUUUGGAAUCACCAAAUUAUCCAGAAGAAUAUCAAUCCAGUAAAGAGUGCGUGUGGAAACUGUCCGUACCCCAGGACUAUCAAGUGGCCUUGAAGUUCCAGUCUUUUGAAAUCGAGAACCACGAUAAUUGCGUGUAUGACUACGUUGAAGUGCGUGACGGACAUGACAACGAUUCCCCCUUAAUCGGCGUUUAUUGUGGGUACAAGAUACCACCAGAUAUCAAGUCGGUGGGCAAUAAGCUACUUGUUAAGUUUGUUAGCGACGGUUCCGUACAAAAGGCUGGCUUCUCGGCAACUUUUAUGAAAGAAUUCGAUGAGUGCAUAUUAACGGAUCAUGGUUGCGAGCAUAAUUGUACCAAUACGCUCGGUGGAUAUGAAUGUUCUUGUAAAAUUGGUUACGAGCUACAUUCCGACGGCAAACAUUGCGAAGAUGCAUGUGGUGGAUUUUUUAAUGGUAGUAAUGGCACCAUCACUAGCCCAUCGUUUCCCGAAGCAUAUCCAGGAAAUAAAAAUUGCGUUUGGGAAAUUGUUGCACCAUCUCAAUAUCGCAUUACUUUAAAUUUUACUCAUUUCGAUCUCGAAGGCAAUAAUGUGUAUCAGGAAGAAUGCGAGUAUGAUUCUGUGGAGGUGGCGAGUAAGCUUGGCGACGAUGUUCUCAGAAAGCAUGGAAUAUUUUGCGGUGCUCGGUUACCGUCACUAAUAACAUCCGAGGGAAAUUUCAUGAGAAUUACUUUCACAUCUGAUAACAGGUUUUAUUUUAUCGUCCAAAAAUCAGGAUUUGCUGCCAUAUUUUUUACGGAUAUGGAUGAGUGUGCCAGUAACAAUGGAGGGUGCCAGCACGAGUGCAAAAACACAAUAGGUUCUUAUCAAUGCUCUUGCCACAAUGGUUUUACACUUCAUGAAAAUGGUCAUGAUUGCAAAGAAGGUGGUUGCAAAUACGAAAUUAUUGCACCCGUGGGAACAAUUACUUCACCAAACUAUCCGGAUUAUUAUCCUGGUCGUAAAGAUUGCGUCUGGCAUUUUACUACGAAACCAGGCCAUCGAAUAAAAUUGGUCUUUAAAGUUUUUGAAAUGGAAUCGCAUCAAGAAUGUGCAUAUGAUCAUAUUGUUAUUUACGAUGGAGAUUCGCCAGAUAGUCUUACCUUAGGUAGAUUUUGUGGUACUAAAGAACCGCAUCCAAUUCUUGCAACUGGUAAUCAAAUGUACAUGGUCUUUAAGAGUGACGCUUCCGUGCAAAGAAAAGGAUUUUUAGCGACCCAUAGUACAGCUUGUGGUGGUCAUCUUAUGGCAACAGAUAGAGUGAAGCACUUAUAUUCUCAUGCUAAAUAUGGUUAUCAUAAUUAUGAUCACAAUACAGAUUGUGACUGGAUAAUAGAAGCACCACUUGGCAAAAAUGUUCAUUUAUCUUUUCAUUCAUUCCAACUCGAAUAUGAAACUGAAUGUGGAUAUGACUUUGUUGAAGUGUUCUCCGGUUUAGAUGUUUCCAGUCCUCCAUAUGGGAGAUUUUGCGGUAAUUCUAAUACCACAGAUUUUAUUUCUAUGAACGAAGCGCUACUGGUAAGGUUUAGAACGGAUGAUACAAUUUCGAGCAAAGGUUUCAUAGCCAUAUUUGUAGCAAUCGAUCGACAGGAUAGUGAGGAAAAUUUCGGUGGUGAAGAUGAUGAAGAACAAAAUCUUUGAUUUUUAGCUCGAUUGUUUAAUGAGUUAAAAUAAGUGAAUUCUGAGUUGACUAUUUUUGCAAAAAGAUAUACAACAUUGAAUAAAAUAUAAAAAAAUCGGCCUGAUCGGAGCUUGAAAUAAAUCUGUUUCAAGUAAUAAUCUAAUGUGAUGUGAAUUAUUGAUUAAAUAUGAAUGUGAUGUGAAUUAUUGAUUAAAUAUGAAGUAAUAUUUUCCAUAAUAUGGGGUUAAUAACUAAAUAUAUCACGUGAUGACGCACACAUCGCAUUCUAUAAGAUUUAAAUCUUAAUACAUCGAUUUAUGUGUGUAGUGUUAUUUCUUGAGUCAUAUUAAAGCAACAGACAAGUAUACUCUAUAAAAUAUGUACGAUAUUGUAAUUUCAAUUGCGAAAGUUUGACAAUUGUGACGAUUAUAACGACGACAUAUUUUUUUUAGUUUUUCGCUCGUGCCUCAUGGCAUUUAAAUUAUAAUAUAAGGAAAAUAAAAAGCAAACUAUUCUAUCAAGUAAUAAUUUUAUCGUCACUAAAAAAGCUCCCGUUAAAACUGUAUAUUUAACAAUAAGUUAAUGUAUUUAAGUUUAGUCAACGAAAUAAUUAAUGUGGCAUUAAACAAUUUCUGCAUUUAGAAAAGAAUUAUCAUAUUUGUCUUAAAGUAUAUGUACACUGUAGAUUUUUUAAGCUAGAGCUGGAGCGUGUUAUUUGGAGUCUAGAUAUAUAAACAGAACCUAGAACGUUUUAGCAGGAUGCAAUCUAAGCUCUAAUUAGAGUCGAUAAGAUACAUCUAAGAACAUGUAAUGUAUACAGCCAUCUGAUAUUUUAGACUGCUCUAAGUCUAUUUAUCCAGACAAACAGAUUUCACUUUACUAAAUUUGCUUUUAUCAUGUUUCAUAUGAAAACAUUCAAUAAGUGUUGCAUGGGACAGGAAUAAAACAUUAAAGUUAUUAAAAUUUUAAUGUUUAAAAACAAAUGUUGAAAAAUCACUUUCCUUAGAUAAGUGUUUUAUUUUUUUAUAUUCAGAGACAGAGAUGCGAAUUGCAGUAAAAAUUUGAAAUCUUAAUGAGAUAUACGUAUAAAAUUCAUGAUACGAAUUUAUCUGUCUUUAGCAAACAAUUUUUUUGUUAAUUUAGCAUCAGAACCUUCUUAUUUUCUUCUAACAAUUCAUAUCCUCCUUUUCGAUUUUCAUUUCUUCUUUUUUAACGAUAAAAUUACAAUUACAGCAACAAUAAUAUAUCUAUUUAUAAUGUGACUAAAUACAAAUACAAAGUUUAGAGAUUUCAUUUCUAAACUUUUUCUCUCGCUCCGGCAUAGAAUGUAGAGUGAAAGUGAUGUAAACGGAAGCUAGAUU
rnacentral:misc_RNA from 1 species